rnacentral:rRNA from 1 species
AGAGUUUGAUCCUGGCUCAGGAUGAACGCUAGCUACAGGCUUAACACAUGCAAGUCGAGGGGCAGCAUGGUCUUAGCUUGCUAAGGCCGAUGGCGACCGGCGCACGGGUGAGUAACACGUAUCCAACCUGCCGUCUACUCUUGGACAGCCUUCUGAAAGGAAGAUUAAUACAAGAUGGCAUCAUGAGUCCACAUGUUCACAUGAUUAAAGGUAUUCCGGUAGACGAUGGGGAUGCGUUCCAUUAGAUAGUAGGCGGGGUAACGGCCCACCUAGUCUUCGAUGGAUAGGGGUUCUGAGAGGAAGGUCCCCCACAUUGGAACUGAGACACGGUCCAAACUCCUACGGGAGGCAGCAGUGAGGAAUAUUGGUCAAUGGGCGAGAGCCUGAACCAGCCAAGUAGCGUGAAGGAUGACUGCCCUAUGGGUUGUAAACUUCUUUUAUAAAGGAAUAAAGUCGGGUAUGGAUACCCGUUUGCAUGUACUUUAUGAAUAAGGAUCGGCUAACUCCGUGCCAGCAGCCGCGGUAAUACGGAGGAUCCGAGCGUUAUCCGGAUUUAUUGGGUUUAAAGGGAGCGUAGAUGGAUGUUUAAGUCAGUUGUGAAAGUUUGCGGCUCAACCGUAAAAUUGCAGUUGAUACUGGAUAUCUUGAGUGCAGUUGAGGCAGGCGGAAUUCGUGGUGUAGCGGUGAAAUGCUUAGAUAUCACGAAGAACUCCGAUUGCGAAGGCAGCCUGCUAAGCUGCAACUGACAUUGAGGCUCGAAAGUGUGGGUAUCAAACAGGAUUAGAUACCCUGGUAGUCCACACGGUAAACGAUGAAUACUCGCUGUUUGCGAUAUACUGCAAGCGGCCAAGCGAAAGCGUUAAGUAUUCCACCUGGGGAGUACGCCGGCAACGGUGAAACUCAAAGGAAUUGACGGGGGCCCGCACAAGCGGAGGAACAUGUGGUUUAAUUCGAUGAUACGCGAGGAACCUUACCCGGGCUUAAAUUGCAGAUGAAUUACGGUGAAAGCCGUAAGCCGCAAGGCAUCUGUGAAGGUGCUGCAUGGUUGUCGUCAGCUCGUGCCGUGAGGUGUCGGCUUAAGUGCCAUAACGAGCGCAACCCUUGUUGUCAGUUACUAACAGGUUCUGCUGAGGACUCUGACAAGACUGCCAUCGUAAGAUGUGAGGAAGGUGGGGAUGACGUCAAAUCAGCACGGCCCUUACGUCCGGGGCUACACACGUGUUACAAUGGGGGGUACAGAGGGCCGCUACCACGCGAGUGGAUGCCAAUCCCCAAAACCUCUCUCAGUUCGGACUGGAGUCUGCAACCCGACUCCACGAAGCUGGAUUCGCUAGUAAUCGCGCAUCAGCCACGGCGCGGUGAAUACGUUCCCGGGCCUUGUACACACCGCCCGUCAAGCCAUGGGAGCCGGGGGUACCUGAAGUGCGUAACCGCGAGGAGCGCCCUAGGGUAAAACUGGUGACUGGGGCUAAGUCGUAACAAGGUAGCCGUACCGGAAGGUGCGGCUG